rnacentral:rRNA from 1 species
UGGGGAAUUUUGGACAAUGGGGGAAACCCUGAUCCAGCCAUCCCGCGUGUGCGAUGAAGGCCUUCGGGUUGUAAAGCACUUUUGGCAGGAAAGAAACGUCAUGGGUUAAUACCCCGUGAAACUGACGGUACCUGCAGAAUAAGCACCGGCUAACUACGUGCCACCAGCCGCGGUAAUACGUAGGGUGCAAGCGUUAAUCGGAAUUACUGGGCGUAAAGCGUGCGCAGGCGGUUCGGAAAGAAAGAUGUGAAAUCCCAGGGCUCAACUUUGGAACUGCAUUUUUAACUACCGGGCUAGAGUGUGUCAGAGGGAGGUGGAAUUCCGCGUGUAGCAGUGAAAUGCGUAGAUAUGCGGAGGAACACCGAUGGCGAAGGCAGCCUCCUGGGAUAACACUGACGCUCAUGCACGAAAGCGGGGGGAGCAAACAGG